CACAAAAGUAAGGUUUUUGCAAGAAGUUGGAAGAAAACGAGAAAAAAAAACGAAAGCAGACGAAGCUUUUGGACAAGUCCGAAGAGUCAACAGACAGUGACACCGAUUCAAUUCGGAUUAGGUGAAUAGAGGAAAUGUUUGA
ensembl:ncRNA B0496.16 ncRNA